GGCGUGUGCAUCAGCUUGGUGUGUUGAUUGCCGGCGUGUUCUUAUUGUAGGGCUGCCGGUGGAUCGACGUAGGUGGCGGGUGAAGUCUGUAGUCAGCAAAUCCUUGGGUGUGUCAGUAGCAACACUCAAUUUUAAAUCAUAUGUAGAUUGGGCCUUAGGCCCGCUAUCUCUUGACAUCGAGUUGGACUGAGCAAUGUCUUUUUUGCCCUGAUGACCAACGACAUAACCCUUUUGCCCUCUUAUUCUCUGGUUCUCCUCCUCCAGCAUUACGGCUCACUUCUCUUCAUACAAUUCUCACAAUCAAGAACCGAAUUUUGAUCGCAUCCUCCAAGCAAACUGACCUUCCCCAACUCUUCCUCAGCAGAACAACUC